rnacentral:rRNA from 1 species
GACGAACGCUGGCGGCGUGCUUAACACAUGCAAGUCGAACGGAAAGGCCCUGCUUUUGUGGGGUGCUCGAGUGGCGAACGGGUGAGUAACACGUGAGUAACCUGCCCUUGACUUUGGGAUAACUUCAGGAAACUGGGGCUAAUACCGGAUAGGAGCUCCUGCUGCAUGGUGGGGGUUGGAAAGUUUCGGCGGUUGGGGAUGGACUCGCGGCUUAUCAGCUUGUUGGUGGGGUAGUGGCUUACCAAGGCUUUGACGGGUAGCCGGCCUGAGAGGGUGACCGGCCACAUUGGGACUGAGAGACGGCCCAGACUCCUACGGGAGGCAGCGGUGGGAAAUAUUGCACAAUGGGCAGAAGCCUGAUGCAGCAACGCCGCGUGCGGGAUGACGGCCUUCGGGUUGUGAACCGCUUUCGCCUGUGACGAAGCGUGAGUGACGGUAAUGGGUAAAGAAGCACCGGCUAACUACGUG